rfam:Medicago truncatula strain A17 chromosome 3, whole genome shotgun sequence.
UGUUCAGUUCGCAUCGGCAGUUAACUGCCGCCGGUUUUCUAAAACUUCGGUAGUUAACUGCCGAAGGGCAU